rnacentral:rRNA from 1 species
UACGUAGGGGCCGAGCGUUGUCCGGAGUUAUUGGGCGUAAAGCGCGCGCAGGCGGCCUCGCGCGCCCGACGUGAAAGCCCCCGGCUUAACCGGGGAGGGUCGUUGGGGACGGCGGGGCUUGAGGGCGGGAGAGGGUGGUGGAAUUCCCGGUGUAGUGGUGAAAUGCGUAGAGAUCGGGAGGAACACCCGUGGCGAAGGCGGCAUCCUGGCCCUGUACUGACGCUGAGGCGCGAUAGCGUGGGGAGCAAACGGG